UUCUAACUGCCUCAGUGGUAAAGAAUCUGCCUGCCAAGCAGGAGACUUGGGUUCAGUACCUGGGUUGGAAA
rnacentral:tRNA from 1 species